rnacentral:rRNA from 1 species
CCUACGGGAGGCAGCAGUGGGGGAUAUUGCACAAUGGGGGGAACCCUGAUGCAGCGACGCCGCGUGGGUGAAGGAGUGCUUCGGCAUGUAAAGCCCUAUCGGCAGGGAAGAAGCAAGACGGUACCUGACUAAGACGCCCCGGCUAACUACGUGCCAGCAGCCGCGGUACUACGUAGGGGGCGAGCGUUAUCCGGAUUCACUGGGUGUAAAGGGAGCGUAGACGGCCAUGCAAGCCAGGGGUGAAAGCCCGGGGCCCAACCCCGGGACUGCCCUUGGAACUGCAUGGCUGGAGUGCGGGAGGGGCAGGCGGAAUUCCUGGUGUAGCGGUGAAAUGCGUAGAUAUCAGGCGGAACACCGGCGGCGAAGGCGGCCUGCUGGACCGCGACUGACGUUGAGGCUCGAAAGCGUGGGGAGCGAACAGGAUUAGAUACCCCAGUAGUC